CACGAAGGGUAUUCCCUCGUCCCAACGUUUCUCUGUUUCCAGGCAGUAUUUGCGGAGCAUUGACUUUAGGGUCUGAUGCCACCGUUCUAGCGCACCUUGAGACUCCGGGUGAUACGCGCUGGAAACGGCAUGAUGUACAUUCAAGGUUUUGAGUACCUGAUUAAAAAGG